rnacentral:ncRNA from 1 species
UCCCGAGUAGCACGGAGCCCGUGAAACUUCGUGUGAAUCUGCCAGGACCACCUGGUAAGCCUGAAUACUACCUGAUGACCGAUAGCGGACCAGUACCGUGAGGGAAAGGUGAAAAGUACCCCGGGAGGGGAGUGAAAUAGUUCCUGAAACCGUGUGCCUACAAGCCGUCGGAGCCUUUUGGGGUGACGGCGUGCCUUUUGAAGAAUGAGCCUGCGAGUUAGUGUCAUGUCGCGAGGUUAACCCGUGUGGGGUAGUCGUAGCGAAAGCGAGUCUGAAGAGGGCGUUGAGUGGCGUGAUCUAGACCCGAAGCGAAGUGAUCUACCCAUGGCCAGGUUGAAG